rnacentral:rRNA from 1 species
GACAGAGGAUGCAAGCGUUAUCCGGAAUGAUUGGGCGUAAAGCGUCUGUAGGUGGCUUUUUAAGUCCGCCGUCAAAUCCCAGGGCUCAACCCUGGACAGGCGGUGGAAACUACCAAGCUGGAGUACGGUAGGGGCAGAGGGAAUUUCAGGUGUAGCGGUGAAAUGCGUAGAUAUCUGAAGGAACAUCAGUGGCGAAAGCGACUUCCUGGACCAAUACUGACGCUCAUGUGCGAAAGCGUGGGGAGCAAACAGG